rnacentral:lncRNA from 1 species
UGGAGGGCCAAGGUUCAGAGAAGUCAGCUGCAUGCCUCGGAUUCCUGACUGGGUCAGAACCAGGAAAAAAGGACAUGCCAUUCCUGAUAAGGAAGCAGGACUCAGAAAACCACUGCAGUUUCCAGUUCCCUAGGGAACCCAGGCACUCAGGGUGCCUCUCUCUGCUAAGCUGUCUGCCAGCUGUUGCCCACCCAACCUGUACCCACUGGUGCAGUGUGCCCCUUGGAGGGAUGCCCACCUCCCUUCCUCAGCAGGGGAAGCAGCUGUCUUUAUCAUAGCAGAAUCUGCCCACCCCAAGCUCUUCCUUACCACGACCCUUUGAAUGCAGAAUACCUCACCCGCAGCCACCAGCCGGCGCACUCACCUCUCAACUAGCCAGAUGACCGGGACAGACUGGCGCGUCCAGGGCGGAUCAGGCAGCGCGGCG